GACGAACCACACAAACGUUAUUCGGAAUUACUGGGCUUAAAGGGUGCGUAGGCGGCGCAGAAAGUAGGGUGUGAAAUCCCUCGGCUCAACCGAGGAACUGCGCCCUAAACUACUGUGCUCGAGGGAGGUAGAGGUGAGCGGAACUUAGGGUGGAGCGGUGAAAUGCGUUGAUAUCUGGAGGAACACCGGUGGCGAAGGCGGCAUCCUGGACCAAUAUUGACGCUGAGGAGCGAAAGCCAGGGGAGCAGACGGG
rnacentral:rRNA from 1 species